CCCCUAGUAUAAUCCAACAUUCAGAGUCUUGGUAUAUCAAUCGCACCCCCUUGGAAAAGAUUUUCGAAAUCCUCCUCACGAAAUCAGAUCGCCCUCUAUUACCCAAUGGACUUGGUAUAUAAAUUCAUGCACCCCCGUGAUAAAAUUAAUCAGUCACGCCUAUAAGGCAAGACAAUAAUUUAUUAUCACAUAACUUGGUACAAAUUACUAUAAUUCAAACGUCUCAUAAACUUGUAUACUGAUUCAUAAAAUAUAUUAUAUCAAGUCAUACAUUAAGUUACGUGGUACGUCAUAGAGUAAUGUCAUGUAUUGCGUUAACUAAUUAUUUAUUUGUUAUUUGUGUUACAGGUCGCAGUUCCUCCAACGUCGUUGCCCAGACUCCCCCUGAAGUCCAGGGGGUCAUAACUGCGGUGGCAGCAUCACUGAGUACCUGAAACAUGAGGAAAACUAA
rnacentral:misc_RNA from 1 species